CUCAGAAGUCUUCGAGUUGCCGUAGGAGGCGGUUGGGCCGUGGGGCUCUCCCGGGCUGGGCCUUGGCGGCCCUGGUGGCCCUGGUGGCCCCGGCCCUCAUCCUCCGGCCUUCAGGGUCCCGAUUCCACACCCCACGCUGUGGUGUCCUUGAAUCCCUGGGCCCCCCAGCCUGGUAUGUGAGGCCCCCAGGCCGGCAGGCCAAGCAGCAGCCACCUGUGGCCAGUUCAUUUGACUAGCUCUGACUGAGCAGCCUGCCAAGUCAUCAGACUCAAUGGAAGUCCAGUGUGAGUGCUUUGCAAGAAGAUGGAAUGGUACAGACCAGGCCAGCAAACUGAAAUGGAAGUUAAGUGAAGGGAAGUAAUAUAAAAUAUUACUGGAAAGGUAUGUGGGAGCCAUAUUGAGAAGGUCUUAAGUGUGAGGCUGAGGAGUUUGUAUUAUAUCCACAUGCGGUUGGGAGCCACUGAAGAUUACUGAGAGUAAAAGUGACAUAGACAGAUCU
rnacentral:lncRNA from 1 species